rnacentral:rRNA from 1 species
CUCAGGACUAACGGCAACGGAUAUCUAGGCUCUCGCAUCGAUGAAGAACGUAGCAAAAUGCGAUACUUGGUGUGAAUUGCAGAAUCCCGUGAACCAUCGAGUCUUUGAACACAAUUUGCGCCCAAAGCCAUUAGGCCGAGGGCACCUGCCU